rnacentral:tRNA from 1 species
GCGCCCGUAGCUCAUUUGUGGAUAGAGCAUUCUGACUACGGAUCAGAAGGUCAGGGGUUCGAAUCCCUUCGGGCGCA